ensembl:lncRNA
UGAGCUGAGCUGUGCCUAACAGGUGUGCUGUGAGGCUGAGCAGAGAAGCGGUAGGAGCCUGGGUGUGGAGAGGGAAGCAGCGUAUGCAACUCAGUCAUAGAAUGGUUUGAGUUGGAAGGAACCUUUAAAGGCCAUGUAGUCCAUCUGCCCUGCAAUGGCAGUACAGCCGGAUCCCUUCCCCUCAGUGCAGCCUUGACGUGCGUACUACUUUGUAGCUCACUGAGCUCAUCUAGCAGCAGUAGGCUUCAGUACAAACACGUAUACAGAAAACACAGUGCAUAUUAGCCAUUUUUUGGCCAGGCACCAUCCUGGUGGUGCAUUUUUUUUUGUGCGUGGGUAUUUUGGGCUUUAUUUCGAAGGUGAACAUAACCUCAAUUCCAUCCUCACACCUUUUCAUGCUAGUCCAAUUGCUGCUUGCAAUGAAAAGCAGCUUUCCUUCAGUGUCAGCUGAACUCACAAAACGUAAGGAGGAUCCCUUCAGGGUUGCAGUAGAGGAAAAGCUGCUACAAACAAUUGCUGUGUGAGCCCAAGAUGAAGCCCGCUCGCCGCAGGGGGAAGGUGACGUCUCGUUACCGGGGCGCUGGGAGCCCUCGAGCCGUCUCGUCUUCCUGCUCCGAGCGGACUGAGGCGUCUUUGGGAGCUAUGCAAAGCAGCAGGGCGAUACUCGCAGCCCUAUCAGCGGCUAUCGGUUGGAUCUGCUGUUUGCUCCAGACUCCACCUUUGCUUGGAAAGAGCUUGCGAUGCCAUGAGACAUGAAGUGGCCUCGUUGGCCUGCAUCUUUAAACUCGAGGAGGUGCUCAGAGUUGACAGCAGGUGAAGCGGCAUUGGCCUGGGGAGCCGAGCCCACGAGGGCAUGGUGGGACAGCGGGCUCUGGAGCACGGUACCUGAGAGCUUGGAGUGACUGCACACAGCUGAACACCUCUCCAUCUCCUCCCGACAUCCCGGCUCAGGUGGGUGUAAGCGAGUGGAGAAAUAUAGAGGUUGUGUGUUUCUAGGUACGCGCCGAUAGUAUUUAUGCAUUGGAAAACUCCCUGAUGGCGAGACAAGCGGCAGCAUCUGAGAAGCACAUAGGCCUAAUUGAUUCCAGACCCAACCGGCCUGGAUUUUGUUUCCUCUUAUUCCAACUUUCUGACCUUGUAAAAAUUAUCUUGAUUGUGUUAUACUAAAACAAGGCCGUGAUCUUGCAAAAACUACCAUGUGUGUGACUGCCGGGCGGCACCGAGUGGAGCGCUGCGGAUGGAACCGAUGCGGACAGCGCUCAGCCCCAGGUUCACUUGUUUGUUUUGCUUUGCCGUAUCUGAUCCUGGUGAAGCAAUCGCCUCGCUUCUGCUGAGCACAGAAUCUGGGAUUUCGUUUUUAAAAGAGGUAAGAAUGUGUAGUAAAACGUAUGAGGUAAGGGAUACGUUUUGAAUCCUCACAGAAGUUUCAGCUCUUGGAGUUUUAUGGCAUUUCGACUCGGAGAGAUAACAGCAAGGAUUUAAAAUAAAUACUUACUGCCUGUAAGUUUUACACUACUUUUUUUUUUUCUUUUUCCUUGUGUACUGGAGGUCUGUGUGUUUCAAAGAAUUGUUUCUAAGGCUUGGUAUGAAAGUUUAAGGACUUACUGCCUUUGAUGGUAACUUUUAUGAUGCCGUUGUGCCUUUGCAUGAAAAAGUAAUAAAAAAGACCUAGGGCAGUAUAAAGCAUUUGACGUGUGGCUGUCUUUGGUGCUGGAGAAAUUCUGAGUAUAACUGUUUUCUGCUUGACAGUGACCCAAGGCCCACCUACACUGAUCCUUUUCUUGUUCUAACUGCUUCUCCUUGCACUGGGAAAUCUGCAGCCUGCUGGCCUUAAACCCCUGUAAAGACUUGUAAAAGAAAAAUCCUUUCAAGCAUUUUGUAAUAAUUAUGAUCCCUUUCUUUAUUUCUCUGAAGGCACUCCCCCCCCCCCCUUUUUUUUUAUUCCUUUCUCAAGAUCAAGAAUAAGCUAUGUAUUUGUGCCUUCAUCAGGAAGCCUCUCAUGGGCGGUCCCUGUAAGCACUGGGAUUGCCUGUCUGAUAGCAGGAGGCUUAUGAACAGCAGCUCCAGGUGGAAGCAGGCCUUCCGCUCCCCCCUCUGCUCUGCUGCAAUCCCCAUUCAUUGCAGCCACAAGAACUGAGACCGAGCUGCAAGUGUGAGAAAGCCAUGGCCACCUGGCUGGGAUACCACAUCUGCCUUUACCUGAGCUCAUAGAAUGAAUGACAGAACGGCCUGGGUUGAAAAAGACCACAAUGAUCAUCGAGUUUCAACCCCCCUGCUAUGUGCAGGGUCACCAACCACCAGACCAGGCUGCCCAGAGCCACAUCCAGCCUGGCCUUGAAUGCCUCCAGGGAUGGGGCAUCCACAGCCUCCUUGGGCAACCUGUUCCAGUGUGUCACCACCCUCUGAGUGAAAAACUUCCUCCUAAUAUCUGACCUAAACAUCCCCUGUCUCAGUUUAAAACUGUUCCCCCUUGUCCUAUCACUAUCCACCCUUGUAAACAGCCGUUCCCCCGCCUGUUUAUAUGCUCCCUUCAAGUACUGGAAGACCUCAAAGAGAUCUCCCCAGAGAUUUCUCUUCUCCAAGCUCACUGACAUACAGGUGUUGCAGGGAAUUUUCUUGUAUAUAACACAGCACAUCAAAUGAUCUUGAACGUACAAAACAAAUGUAACAAAAAAUUAAGCCUAUCUCUAGCAGCUUCUAUGUGUCAUUAAAGCUGGUUUCUAGGAAGUUGGUGCGAAUACAGAUGGCAUCUUGUUUGAACUUUUUAUCUUCCUUGUAAACAUUUGUUUUCCUACAGACCUCAUGGUGGAAGUAGAGAGUGGUAGAUUAUGUAUCAAAUACAAAAAAAAAACCCAAAAACUGAGAGGAUGUGCAGUGUCCUGGCUCAGAAUUUCUGCUGGUAACUUCCUACGCUAAAGAUGUAACAACGAUUAGUAGUGCUGAUGUUGUAUCUUGUUGCCUCUAUCUUCCAGCCACUGCUUUUCUAAUAAGUUGUAUGAGAACUUCAAGUAAAA